rnacentral:rRNA from 1 species
UAACACGUGGGGAACCUGCCCCAUAGUCUGGGAUACCACUUGGAAACAGGUGCUAAUACCGGAUAAGAAAGCAGAUCGCAUGAUCAGCUUUUAAAAGGCGGCGUAAGCUGUCGCUAUGGGAUGGCCCCGCGGUGCAUUAGCUAGUUGGUAAGGUAAAGGCUUACCAAGGCGAUGAUGCAUAGCCGAGUUGAGAGACUGAUCGGCCACAUUGGGACUGAGACACGGCCCAAACUCCUACGGGAGGCAGCAGGG